rnacentral:rRNA from 1 species
UUUCGCAAUGCCCGAAAGGGUGACGAAGCGACGCCGCGUGUGGGAAGAAGGCCUUCGGGUUGUAAACCACUGUUGGGAGUUAGGAAGUGUGGGGGUGUUAAUAGCGCCUUCACUUGACUAAAGCUCCAGAGGAAGCCACGGCUAACUCUGUGCCAGCAGCCGCGGUAAUACAGAGGCGGCAAGCGUUGUUCGGAAUUAUUGGGCGUAAAGAGCACGUAGGCGGCUCCGUAAGUCAGCUGUGAAAGCCUUCUGCUUAACGGAAGAACAGCAGUUGAACCUACAGUGCUUGAGUGCGGGAGGGGAGAGUGGAACUUCUGGUGGAGCGGUGAAAUGCGUAGAUAUCAGAAGGAACGCCGGCGGCGAAAGCGGCUCUCAGGCCCGUAACUGACGCUGAGUGUGCGAAAGCUAGGGGAGCAAACGGGAUUAGAUACCCCGGUAGUCCUAGCCGUAAACGAUGGGCACUAAGUAGAGGGGUUUUA